CACACGUCGGGGCCCCAGGGAAGGGGAGCUCAGCACACACGUCGGGGCAUCAGGGAAGGGGAGAGCAGCACACGCGUCGGGGCCUCAGGGAAGGGGAGAGCAGCACACACGUCGGGGCCUCAGGGAAGGGGAGCUCAGCACACACGUCGGGGCCCCAGGGAAGGGGAGCUCAGCACACAUGUCGGGGCCUCAGGGAAGGGGAGAGCAGCACACACGUCGGGGCCUCAGGGAAGGGGAGAGCAGCACACACUUCGGGGCCCCAGGGAAGGGGAGCUCAGCACACACGUCGGGGCCUCAGGGAAGGGAAGAGCAGCACACACGUUGGGGCCCCAGGGAAGGGUCUCAUGUCGUUGGGGUAGCUGCUCUCACUCUUCCCAGCCCAGACACAGAUCAAGGACGUGGUGGAGGCGGAGGUGGAGAUGGAAGGAGGGGAGGGCAGAGUGAGGAGAUGGAAGGAGGGGCGGAGUGGGGUGAGGGUGCCCAGGCCUGUGCUGGUAGGUCAGGAGCAGCACCCCAGGGCUCUGGGGGUGAAGAGGCCCUGGUGUGUCUGCUCCUCCUGAGGUUGUGAGUCUGGACCACGUGAUUCUAAAAGUGCCCGGGUUGUCAGCCAAUGUGAUGGUGGGGGUGGGUGAGCUGCAGGGGUUCCCGCCCAUUCACCAAGACCCCCAAUCCUUCAUGGGGUCCGCCAUAGCUGCGGCAUCCUGCCACCCACCUCUAUGAAAG
rnacentral:lncRNA from 10 species